rnacentral:rRNA from 1 species
GACGAACGCUGGCGGCGUGCUUAACACAUGCAAGUCGAACGGAAAGGCCUGCUUUCCCUUGUGGAUUGCGGGUACUCGAGUGGCGAACGGGUGAGUAACACGUGAGUGAUCUGCCCCCAACUUGGGUAUAAGCCUGGGAAACUGGGUCUAAUUCCCGAUAGGACUGCAGGGUGGUGCCUGUGGUGGAAAACGAUUUUCUAGUGGUUGGGGAUGAGCUCGCGGCCUAUCAGCUUGUUGGUGGGGUAAUGGCCUACCAAGGCGGCGACGGGUAGCCGGCCUGAGAGGGUGGACGGCCACAUUGGGACUGAGAUACGGCCCAGACUCCUACGGGAGGCAGCAGUGGGGAAUAUUGCACAAUGGGCGGAAGCCUGAUGCAGCGACGCCGCGUGGGGGAUGACGGCCUUCGGGUUGUAAACUCCUUUCGACCGCGAGGAAGCCACCUGGUUGGAAGGGUGGUGACGGUAGUGGUAGAAGAAGCACCGGCUAACUACGUGCCAGCAGCCGCGGUAAUACGUAGGGUGCGAGCGUUGUCCGGAUUUACUGGGCGUAAAGAGCUCGUAGGUGGCUUGUCGCGUCGUCUGUGAAAGUCUGGGGCUUAACUCCGGGUGUGCAGGCGAUACGGGCUGGCUUGAGUGCUGUAGGGGAGACUGGAAUUCCUGGUGUAGCGGUGGAAUGCGCAGAUAUCAGGAGGAACACCGAUGGCGAAGGCAGGUCUCUGGGCAGUCACUGACGCUGAGGAGCGAGAGCAUGGGUAGCGAACAGG